AGCAAGCAUUCAACCAUUAGGAAUUUCAGAGUAUUUAUGAGAAGAUAAGUCAAUAAGCGAUAUCUAAGUUUGAGCUACCCCCUCAAAAGAAAAACCCUCCAAAAAUGCCUCCACCUCCCUCUCCCCCUGCCCUCCUUAACACACAAACACAUGGCAACAUUAAAAAGCAACCAGUAAUUUUUAAAAUUUUUUUUUCUUUUAGCAAACUCUCAACCAAAGCAGGCCAUUUCCAUUCUCAGAUAUGCACGUGGGAUAUGUGGCCCUGGGUCAGGGAGGGCAGGCAGGGCUGAUACGAGAGGAGGGGCUGGAGUCCGCUUUUCCCUUCCUGACCCCCAUCCUGGGCCCGCUGUUCUGGCAAAGCUGAUCAGAUUGGAGGGUGGGUCUUCUGCAUUAUUAAAAUUUCCACUCUUCCAGAUAAUAAAGUGUGAUUUCUCCUCUCUCUGUCUCCCCUUCUGCCUCCUUUCUAAUCUCUUGCCACUGUGGUUUUGGGAUUAUUCCAGCAGGCUGUACAAAGGGAAGCGAAGGCAUCUGAAGUGUCACUCUACAGCUGUGCAAAGUAACAGCAUUUCCAUUUUGUUGAUGCUCCCAGCUCAUGUGCGCAGCAGAAGGUGAAAUCAAAGAAGCCGGUC
rnacentral:lncRNA from 1 species